rnacentral:rRNA from 1 species
AGACGGAGGGGGCUAGCGUUGUUCGGAAUUACUGGGCGUAAAGGGCGCGUAGGCGGAUUGUUAAGUUAGAGGUGAAAGCCCUGGGCUCAACCUAGGAACUGCCUUUGAAACUGAUAAUCUAGAGUCCGAGAGAGGAUGGCGGAAUUCCCAGUGUAGAGGUGAAAUUCGUAGAUAUUGGGAAGAACACCAGUGGCGAAGGCGGCCAUCUGGCUCGGUACUGACGCUGAGGCGCGAAAGCGUGGGGAGCAAACAGGAUUAGAAACCCGGGUAGUCC